rnacentral:rRNA from 1 species
AGUGAACGCUGGCGGUAGGCCUAACACAUGCAAGUCGAACGGCAGCACAGUAAGAGCUUGCUCUUACGGGUGGCGAGUGGCGGACGGGUGAGGAAUACAUCGGAAUCUACUUUUUCGUGGGGGAUAACGUAGGGAAACUUACGCUAAUACCGCAUACGACCUACGGGUGCAAGCAGGGGAUCUUCGGACCUUGCGCGAUUGAAUGAGCCGAUGUCGGAUUAGCUAGUUGGCGGGGUAAAGGCCCACCAAGGCGACGAUCCGUAGCUGGUCUGAGAGGAUGAUCGGCCACACUGGAACUGAGACACGGUCCAGACUCCUACGGGAGGCAGCAGUGGGGAAUAUUGGACAAUGGGCGCAAGCCUGAUCCAGCCAUACCGCGUGGGUGAAGAAGGCCUUCGGGUUGUAAAGCCCUUUUGUUGGGAAAGAAAAGCAGCAGGUUAAUACCCCGCUGUUCUGACGGUACCCAAAGAAUAAGCACCGGCUAACUUCGUG